rnacentral:lncRNA from 1 species
CAUCUUCAACACUUAGAAACCUAUCAAGUAGCCAUGACAUGUCACCAUCUCCAAAUCCCUACACUUUAGUCAAAAAGGGAAAGAAAGGGGGUUAGCACAAUUAAGUACUAAGUAUGGAGACCAUGCAAGAAAAUAUGCACAACGGACACUUACAAGAAAUGUAUGCUUUCAUAUCAUUUUGAUAAAAACCUUCACUUCACAAGUAUAAGAGACAUAAUACAAGUCAAUGUUCACAUAUAAAACCAUAGCCAACCGUAUACAUACUCAACUUUAAAGGAACACAUGCCAUUUCAUUACCAUAGGACCUCUACCUAAUAUAACCUUAAGACACACUUGAGUAAGACAAGAAGUGACCGCCCAUACAACCUCUUCAAGCACACUUAAGAGUUCCUCAAGAUUACCUUAGAUAAGGACAUCUCCUUUACAACAUAACAUCAAUAGACCAACUUUCUUUAAGAAACCAUUUUGGAGACAUUCAAGCACAUAAGGGGACUUUCACAUAAUAGUCGUUAGACUUAGGGAACUCACUUUAGUAUCUUCAAAGCCUACUCGUGCCAUGUGUAGAUAGCAUCCCAUACUACU